AAAUGAGCGGUGUAGUGUUCGCAAAAACAGAUUUUGACUUCCAGCAGUGAUUGCAGAAUGCGGCAUUUGGGAGCAAAAGGCAAUUCAGGGAUGAACAAGUCACUCCAUGACGGUCAGGGACCCAGGCUCUGUGACACUGGCUCCAAGUUGGCUGACCCAGCCAUGUGUGUGUACAAGGGUUCUGUUUCUAUAGCGGGAGGGGAGAUUUGCAGUCUUAGGGCACAGUCUGUCUCAUUCAGAGGAUUCUUAAUGAUGGGAAGAGUAUGUGUAAUGCCUCAUCACAGAUGAACUUGCUCUGCUGAUCACUUACCAUGUCAUUACAUCCUGUGUCUCUGGCCUGACUGUAAGUCCAUCGAGGUGAAAACACUGUCUUUAGGUUUCAUUUGCGUCGUUGGCAGUACCCAGCACGAUGUCAUUAAAAAUAGUUAAAUAGACCACAAAUAUUUGUUCAUUUACUGGGGCCAGAUGUUAAAAUGAAACAUUAGUCCUUUCUUCCCUUAGUUUGAAUCACAGACCCAGACCUUGGAUCUUCUUUAAAAAAAAAAAAAAAGUUUAAAAUUCAUUUUCCAAUUUAAUGAGAGCAAUGAUAAGUUUGAUUGUCUUUCAUGGAAGAUGCUUGAGUUGGAUAUUCAGAUUGGGGUGGCAGCAGACAGAACUAGUGGGAUGAAAAAAAAUCAGUAACUUUUUUUACAGUUUGCUACAUCUGCUUUUCAGAAAAAAAAGACAACCCGGAGAUUUACAUAACUGUUUUUCCAUCCCUUGUGGAUAAGUUGGUAAUGUGUAUUGUACUUUAUUAAUAUUGUUGAUUUCGUACUAUAACUCAGAUAUAAAGGAAGCAGAUGUCAAGGGGAGAGAUUUAAUCACAGAAUAAUCAGGGCUGGAAUUUUAAAUAGAGUAUCAUUAGCAUGUUAAUGAAUUUUCCCAGUUUACGCGAGCUGCCCAAGUAGAAAAGAUACUGCAGAUGUAGCUCAAAAAUCUGGCGGGGCCUGUGGCCCAGUGAGCUGUCAGGAAUCUGUGUAGGGUCUGUGAAAUGCGUAAAGAGAUUCUCAGUGUGGGUGUCAAAUGCUGUUUUUUUCUGGGAGUGAUGGCUGUCUGUGUCCAGCUUAAACUCAUUUAUUUGCCUUUCAUUGAGUAAGGAGGAAGUGGAAGGCAGAUAAGGGGCAGGGUUUUUUUUUUUUUAAGUCUUCAUUGAAUUUGUACUGCUUCUGUUUUAUGUUCUGGUUUUUUGGCCAAGAGGCAUGUGGGAUCUUAUAGCUCCUGGACCAGGGAUCGAACCCAAACCCCCUGCAUUGGAAGGCGAAGUCCCAACCACUGGGCCGCCAGGGAAGUCCCAAGGGACAGUUUUUAAGGGUGAUAAAGUUGAAGUGGCGUAACUUUUCAGUUAUGGUUUGGGGCUAGUACCUACCUUUUGCUUUAGGUUAGAAAGGCCAUACAAUCCUGCCCUUAUUUUUGGACUACCUCCUGAUAGCUAAUAAAAGGAAGUAUGAUGCCCUUUAGUGAGGUAUUAGUUUUUUUAACCCUUAAGUCCACUGGUGAAACAUCUUUCAUAAGUCACUUUAAGGAGAAGCUUUUGGUUAAGAGAUUGUGUGCCUUACAGGUUCUGCAUAUAUAGGCAGUCACUCCCUUUCCACAUUUAUUAGCUAUAUUUAGAUAAAAUUUUCAAGAAAAAUUAGAACAGGGGAAUAAAAUCUGCCUUAUUUUUGGAGGGGGGGAAGAAAUGGAGGCCUGGAAUAUAUAUAAGUAUAUAUCAAAGAUGGAAACAACAAAAUUAACAAAUAAAAUGGAAAAGUUGAGACAAGAAAAUGCUAAUGAUGAGUGUUACUUAUUUUGGUUGAGAAUAUGAUGUGAUCAUGAACUUCCUAGAAGCCAGAGCAAAAAAGAUAGGUGAAGCGUCGUCUGUUUUCCUCAAAAGUAGCUUAAAGCCCGAAGUUUUCAGGAAUGUGGAGUGGUGUUAAAUUCUUAAAGAUGAUUUUUUUGAGAGUGUAAUGGGAAGUCCUCAUGAAUAGAUUUAUAGCACAUGCAAAAGCACACAUGGCUGUUACCAACCACCUUUGAGAAAAAAAGUUAGCGGAUGAAGGCAGGAGUUCAUGGGUAGACUGUGAAACUGUACACAGAUUUCAUAUCUGUGAUUUUGUACAUUUUUUCCACACAGAGAUCCAGUUACUCAGCAGAUUUUUGAAGGAGUCUUUCUGAGUUCCUCCAAAUGUUAAGAAACCUUAUGUUAACGUAUAAUGCCAUGGAAGUGAAUUAGGAAGGGCUUGGGCUAAUUGAGUUUAAAUAUGGAAUCUUCCAGUGACCUGACGUCACCGGUCCUAGGUCCCUAGAACCUAAAGGGAUGGUUAGAGAUCCCAUUCUGUAGACACACCAAAUGUCUCUUCUUCCCCUGAGCUUUGACUAAAAUUUGCUUGGUGGACAACUUGGCUGUCUUGGGGCCAGAAUCGUGAUAAGAGUUUUCGGUAAAUGAGACCCGAGCUAUUUGUUUGGGAACCAGAUGACCCUUGCAGGUUCUGUACGUGAAGGAACUUAGAUUGUUAUAUGGGGAAUAUCUUAAUUGUGUCUGCCUCUCUGAGUGGAAAUUUUUGUUUGUUUAGAUUGAAUAUAUGUAUAAUAUGAACCUUUUGAAGGGAAACUUCUUCCUAAAAUUACAAAAUCUUUUUUUCUCGGGUUUUUCUGUGAGCUGAGCCUUCGCAUCUCUAAUCAUUUAUCUUUGAUUCAUCUUAUUAAUUAUGUUAUCAGGAUCCCAGUUAAACAUGCAUUUGCAUUUUUUGUUUCUCUCCAAGGUCUUCUUCUUUCUAGUUUAUUCUUGCCUCUCUCUGAGUAUGGUUAUUUCUCUUCAGCCACUUUUGCCUGUGAAUUUCUAAGCUUGAAAUUGGUAAUUAACUUCCUUCCUCUUUUAUUAAACAAUGGUGAUAAUCCCUUUGGGAGGCAUCCCCACAGCAGUGGAAAAAGCCUGUAUUAGUUCAUAGGAGGCCUCAGUUUAGUUUCCGUUCUAUUGGUUCCCAUCACCCGCGUCACACCUGGCAUGUAUAGCAUCGCGGUGUGAGGUUUGAUGGAUGAAAUUCUUUCUGCUUCCCAGGUGCUUGAUGUAUGACACAGGAGAACCAGAUCUCUAAGUUUCAUUGCCACCCAUGCAUUCAUCAUUUUAAUUUUUUUAUUGAAGUAUAGUUGGUUUACAGUGUUGUGUUCAUUUCCGCUGUACAGCAGGUGAUUCAGUUAUAUAUAUAUGUACAUUUUUUUAUGUUCUUUUCCAUUAUGGUUUAUCAUAAGAUAUUGAAUAUAAUUCCCUGAGCUAUACAGUAGGACCUUGUUGUUUAUCCAUCCUCUAUAUAAAAGCUUACAUCUGCUGAUCCCAACCUCCCACUCCGACCCUCCCCCCACCCCCUCCCCCCUGGCAACCACAGCUCUGUUCUCUAUGUCUGUGAGUCUGUUUCUGUUUCGUAAAUAGGUUCAUUUGUGUCAUAUUUUAGAUUCCAUGUACAAACGAUACCAGAUGGUAUUUGUCUUUCUUUUUCUGACUUACUUCACUGAGUAUUGUAAUCUCUCUGGUCCAUCCAUGUUGCUGCAAAUGGCAUUAUUUCAUUCUUUUUCAUGGCUGAGUAGUAUUCAAUCGUAUACAUGUACUGCAUCUUCUUUAUCCAUUCAUCUGUUGCGUGCAUCCAUCAUUUUAAUAAGCAUUUAUUGAGCACUUACAAUAUGCCAGGCACCGUGCUCACCUUUGUGUUCCAGAAUGAAUCAGACAGUCCCUGCCAGAGAGGAAGUCUCCAUGUUACUCCAGUUACUCUAGUCCCUACUGGUCUUGAAUUCCCAUGAUUCUCUCCAGCAUUGUUCCCUUUUUUUCUUGCUUUCAACUAUUUCUGAUUUCCUUCUCCUAUUUUUAUCCAUGCAGUUAUUUUUUAGAAAUCCUUACUGAUGCUACUUCCUUUUCUACCUGUCUCUCCAUUUGCUUUUUAUACUCCCGUAACAAUACUCCCUUAACAGAGCCCCUAGGUGGGAAUACAAUGACAACGUCAACGGUAUUUCAGACCGAAUUGCAACAGGCAGUUUUCUGACAUGCUGAUUGGUUGGAGCAGGAACUUGCUUCUGUAUUAUAAGGCUGCACGUGCAUUUCGUCUGAUCAUCUGGGCACUUUGUGUGGCUAACCCAGCACCAUCUCUGUUUCACAGAUGAAGACGCAGAGGCUUAGGGAGAAUGGGCGCCUUGUCCGAAGUCACACAGACAUGAGGGAUCGGGGCCAGGAUUUGAAUCCCUUUUUCCUGCGAUUUCACCUCUGAUGUGGCUUUAUGUUCUUCAUGAACCUGAUUCCCAAACAUGAGGUUUUUCCACCUUCCCUCACCCUCACCACCCCCUACCUCAGUACCACACUCAGAGUCAUGACUGUGAAACAAAAGUCUACUAACAGGAUCUCUUGAUGCUGUUGAGUGUCCUGAAAAGAGAGGCUGUUUUCAUUUUUGAAAUUUCUGAGUACACGCUCUAUAUUUCAUGCCUGAAAUGAUGAUCUACUGCCUGCAGUUUUCCUACACCUGAUGGAUCAUUUAAAUUGCUAGGAGGUUCUAUAGGUUAUCACCCCUAUGAUACUCACAUAUUUUGUAUUUAAACCCAAGUUCUUUAUUUUGGAAGGAUGACUAACAGGGACUUAGCAUACUACCACAAAUGAGAAAAAAGUUGAGCUAUAGCAAUUCAACUGGAUACAUAUUUGGUAACUUCAAAUCACUUUUUGAUAUUUUUUUCAAAGAACUAUGAUUAGUUCAACUUCCUGUUCACAAAUGCUUAAAUGUCAGUGUUUUCCUUUGUAUUCCUAUAAGUUCAGGCAUUAAUAGUAUAUUGAUACCCCAGUCAGAGUUUCUGGGGGAGAACCACGAUAAGCCCUGUUUGCCUGUAAGAAUUUACUAAUAUGCCACCCUAUUAAUUACAAGGAAUUAACUUGCAAAAUGUGAUGGCCAUUCUAAGCUUCUCUCGAGUGAGUUUUUGAACUUUAAAUAAACAACAUUUAUUAUAUUCUUUAAUUCAGCGUUUUGCAAGAUUAAGACUGAUUCUUUUUUUGUUUUUCUGAGUCCCACUUUGUGAGGUUUUGCAGAAUUCAAUUUUAUUGGUGCUGUGACCUAUUUUAUACUGUCACAGUCUUUUCAAUGCUUAAUUUUAUAAGAAAUGUCUUGUUUUCCUCUUUGGCUUUGCCAUGAGUUAUGGCCUCCUGCCAUUUUUGCUGUGUACUUCCUCUUCUUUGAAGCUGCCAUAUGUUUUGCAACCCAAGAGAGACAAUUCUUUUUGAGAGAUCCUUUGUUGCUAAUUUGGUUUUUCAGGUUUUCCUAGCUCUUGUAAAGGAGAGAGAGUAUGCUCGUAAGUGUUUUCUGCCCUCAUGAUUUUGUCGCACCAAAUUUUGCUGCCCAGGUCCCACCAUAGUUCUGGGGAGGGCCAUCCUGCCUCAUCCACUUUCCUUCCAGAUUUUUAUGUAAUUGGGGAGGGUUGGAUCCCUGUUGGGAUGGACAAUUCUAAGCCAAUACACUGCAAUUUAAUAUUUAUAGCAUGGCAGAAACAAUCAGGAAUUGCUUAAAGAUCUACUGACUUGACAUCAAAAAUGUGUAAACCAGAUAUGCUGAUAGCUCACAUGCUCACAUAGUUAUAGAAGGUAAUUUUAUUUGUCUUUUGACAUUAAACUAUCCGAAGUUUUUAUAACUCCUUAACAACUGAUCGCAUACUUUGCUUUUAAAUUUAAUGAUAACCAGACUUCUUUUCUUUUCAUUUGCCAAAUGAUGUUAAACUUUUGGUUAUUUUACGCUGUUUUGAGCAGCUCUCUUUUCAUCUGUGUUACUGAAGCUGCUUUACACUUUAUGUAUUUCUAAAUAUUAUAUUGCCUUUCCCAAGAAAGAGUCUAAUGCAGAUAUAUUAUGACUUCAGGGUAUAAUUAAUGAAAGGAAGCCUGGUCCUGCUGGGACAAGGUGACUGAGUCCCAGAGUCUUGAGUCUCUUUUUUUCUUUUUUAAAAAUAAAUUUAUUUAUUUA